AGCCAAAUGGUGCAUUAUCUGAAUUUCCCUUCUAACGUCCUCCACAUCCUCAUCAGUUAACAAUUUUCUCUUUGCAAUAGAUUUGCACGCAUACUCUUUUCCAGCUGCUUUAUCAACACAAAGAAAUGUUGUACCAAAUUGCCCUUGUCCUAGUUUCUUCCCAAGUCUAUAGAACUCCUUGAAAUUACCCGUUUUAGUUUGUAAAACAGAUUCUACCUUGAGCCCUGCACUAGACACUCUUUUCAUUUGAGGGCCUUUCUUAGGUUUCGAGGGUUGUUCUGGUUUCUCAGGUUUUUCUGGUUUUGGCAUCAUUACUUGUUCUGGGGGACUAUUUUGGACAGGCAAAGGUGAUACUGGUUCUUUAGAUGUUAUCUCAUGGACAGAUUCUCCAUUAGCCUGAGAAAUAUUGUCAUCUGGUGAUCGGGUACGCCACAUUGCAGCAGAUACUGAUUGAAAAAAUCCAUUCUUGGAAAUGCUAGGACCUACGCAAGUAUUGCCCAUCUGUCUCCUUAAAAAGUCAAUCACUUCUAAAAUCUUCCUCCAACUCCAACAUCAAGAUCUAAUCUCAUUUACCAUAUUAACACAAUAUACACACAAUUGAUCUCUACUUUGAAGACUAAAAGAGUAUCAAACUAAAAGCUUGACUUGUAGCCUGUGAAAUGAACCGCAAGAGAUACCAUGAAAGGAAGGAAGAAGAACAAAUAGAAGUAACUAUCAGCGAAUUCUUGAAAUUAUUAUUUCUAUCAUUAAUAAUUGACUUAAUCGAGCAAACUGUGGUUAAAAACAAGAACUAUCCAAAAACAGAUAACAGAUAAAGAAUCCCACAAAGGAUCAUCAAAAUUCUAAAUCACUAAGCAAUCAACUUUCUGAUUUGAUUCAAUCCAUCAUUAAUAAGAUCCCAAAAGCUACAAAACAAGAACCUUGAGUGAUUGGAUCUAAGAAAACGUCAAUAACAAAGUAAAAUCUAUACAACACGAACUAAGAAGAAGUCUUACAAAAAUAGGGGCAAACAAACAAAUAAAAUAAAGCAAGGCAUGUCAAAGAUUGAAAAACUCAUCUAUAGACUGAACAAAAUAAUUAAGCAAAAACUACCCAAGUGAGAAAAUUAAGGGAAAAUAAUGAUAUUGAAAGAAAAAGGCAAAACUAUCAGGCAUACCAGGUCCUCUGGGCUGAAUUAAAAAAAUGAAGAAAGAGAAGUGGAUGAUGGGUGGGGAAGGACAAUGACU
rnacentral:misc_RNA from 1 species